AUCCUUAUCUUAGUCCUUUACAGGUAUAUUUAGCAAUUUGGUUGAAUUUUAUAAUUUUAGAUGUUUUUGAUUUAAAGAAAGUGUUUCAUAUACUGAUAUUCCUAUCUCAUAUAUUUUAUAAUGUUUUAUAGAAAUAAAUUACUCAUCAUCAUCAUCAUCAUUAUUGUCAUAUGGCCUGUAGGAACUUGAAAGUUUAGUUUUUGCUGUUUCUCAUGUCUUAUGUAUGCUUACAAUCAAUUCAAGUGAAGUAACACACUGUGUGCAUUAUAUUUUAUAAGAGAAUGUUGUUCCUUUUUUGUCAUCUACUCCACUAAAAGUGAAAUGUUAUCCUUCAUUUGUAGUGUUAUGUUACAAAGCAUUCAACUUAUUUAGCUGAUGUAAUGCAUUGAUGAGUUAAAUGGUGUUUAUCAAUAAUAUUGUAUAUUCUGCUUUAAUCAAUUUGCUGCUUUUUUGGGCAUUGUCAAUUCAAUUGGUAUUGUUUUCUUUUUGAGCUGUGCAUCCGGAUUCUUGCUAUAACACCUUUCAUUUUCUAGUCUUUUGAAAAGGGGGUGUGUUUGUGGGUUUUUUUUUUAAUUUUUUUUUAAUUUUUUUAGAC
rnacentral:misc_RNA from 1 species